AUUGAACGCUGGCGGAAUGCUUUACACAUGCAAGUCGAACGGCAGCACGGGGGCAACCCUGGUGGCGAGUGGCGAACGGGUGAGUAAUACAUCGGAACGUGCCCAGUCGUGGGGGAUAACGUAGCGAAAGUUACGCUAAUAACGCAUACGAUCUACGGAAGAAAGCGGGGGACCGUAAGGCCUCGCGCGGUUGGAGCGGCCGAUGUCAGAUUAGGUAGUUGGUGAGGUAAAGGCUCACCAAGCCGACGAUCUGUAGCUGGUCUGAGAGGACGACCAGCCACACUGGGACUGAGACACGGCCCAGACUCCUACGGGAGGCAGCAGUGGGGAAUUUUGGACAAUGGGCGCAAGCCUGAUCCAGCCAUUCCGCGUGCAGGACGAAGGCCUUCGGGUUGUAAACUGCUUUUGUACGGAACGAAAAGGCUCUGGUUAAUACCUGGGGCUCAUGACGGUACCGUAAGAAUAAGCACCGGCUAACUACGUGCCAGCCGCCGCAGUAA
rnacentral:rRNA from 1 species